GGGGGCGGGGCCGGGCCGCCAGGCUGCAUGGCAGCAGAACCUCAUGUCUCCCAGGCUGAGCUCAGGAAAACGGCUAAAAAACAGCACACAGAAUACAAUUAAGCUGGAUUCAUCUACAUGCUGACGAAGAGGAACACAUAAGCUGCCCGAGGAUACCACACUGAACCCGGUAAUGGGAUGGGAACAUUGAGUCUCGUAAGCCGGGCCUACACGCCAUAAUGGGCCUGGACAUGUAAGACACCUGUAGGCGCGCGGAUAGUGGCCCAACAGGCCGGGGAAGACCGACACCCGGCAAUUCUUCACUGAGGACAGCAAAGCCACAAGGGGUGGCCCGGCCCUGCUUCCCCCCCCGGCCGGUGGGGGUAAUCCCGGCCACAUGGGGACGACAUACUCCAGGGCGGAAGAAACCGCAUGGGGCCAACACCGAUCCCCUGAACAGGCAAAGGCCACCAGACUGGGGCCCGCCUGCAGACUUACUCCACAGGAGACGGAACAC